GAAAGGCACGUGAUGUGGAUUAAGUAAAGUGUAUCAAGGACGAGCAUGACAAAGUAUUGGUAGAGGAGACUCUCAUUAGACGGAGAUGACAGUCAUACUUCUGCAAACUCUUGAAUGAAGAAGGGGACAGAGACAUUGUGUUGGGAGAAUUAGAACAUACAGGAAGGCGUCACGAUUUUGGGUAUUGCAGGAGUAUUAAGGUUGACGAGGUUAAGGGUGCUGUUCGUAGGAUGCGCAGGGGAAGAGCGACCGGACCUGACGAGAUUUCUGGGAAUUCUGGAAGAGCGUGGGCCCGGCAGGUUUGGAGUGGCUGACUAGGUUGUUUAAUGUCAUCUUCAAGACAACAUUGAUGCCCGAAGAAUGGAGGGCGAGUGUAAUGAUCCCUCUAUACAAGAAUAAGGGAGAUAUCCAGAGUUGCAACAACUAUAGAGGUAUCAAGCUGCUAAGCCAUACUAUGAAAGUGUGGGAAAGGGUGGUGGAGAUGAGGGUGAGGAGAGGUGUGUCUAUUUCAGAGAACCAGUUCGGAUUCAUGCCGGGACGCUCAACUACAGAAGCCAUCCAUCUUGUGAGAAGGUUGGUGGAGCAGUACAGGGAGAGGAAGAAGGACUUACACAUGGUAUUCAUCGACCUAGAAAAGGCUUAUGACAAAGUUCCAAGACAAAUCCUAUGGAAAUGCUUGGAGGCUAAAAGUGUACCUGUGGCGUACAUUAGGGUGAUCAAGGACAUGUAUGAGGGAGCCAAAAUCAGGGUAAGGACAGUAGGAGGAGACUCAGAGCAAUUUCCAGUUGUGAUGGGGUUGCAUCAAGGAUCAGCUCUUAGUCCGUUUUUAUUUGCCUUGGUGAUGGAUGAAUUGACACGACAAAUUCAAGAUGAGGUGCCAUGGUGUAUGUUGUUCGCGGACGACAUAGUCCUGAUCGACGAGACUCGUAGCAGAGUUAACGCUAAGCUGGAGAGUUGGAGACAUACUCUGGAGUCUAAAGGGUUUAAGCUGAGUAGGACCAAGACAAAGUACUUGGAGUGUAAGUUCAGUGAAACACCUCAGGAGGCUGGCUUGGAAGUGAGACUUGGUACCCAGGCCAUCCAGAAGAAAAGUAAUUUCAAGUACCUUGGGUCUAUUCUGCAAAGCUGCGGGGAGAUUGACGAUGAUGUCACACAUCGUAUUGGGGCAGAGUGGAUGAAAUGGAGGCUUACUUCCGGAGUGCUAUAUGACAAGAAGGUGCCACCAAAACUUAAGGGCAAGUUCUAUAAAGUAGUGGUUAGACCGACUAUGUUGUAUGGGGCGGAGUGUUGGCCGGUUAAGAUCUCUCACGUUCAAAAGAUGAAAGUUGUCGAGAUGAGAAUGUUAAGAUGGAUGUGUGGCCACAUCAGGAGUGACAGGAUUAGGAAUGAGCAUAUUCGGGAUAAGGUGGGGGUGGCCUCGGUGGAAGAUAAGAUGCGAGAAGCGAGAUUGAGAUGGUUUGGGCAUGUGAAGAGGAGAGACACAGAUGCCCCAGUGCGGAGGUGUGAGAGGUUGGCCAUGGAUGGUUUCAGACGAGGUAGGGGUAGAUCGAAGAAGUAUUGGGGAGAGGUAAUUAGACACGACAUGGCGCAACUACAGCUUACCGAGGACAUGACCUUAGAUAGGAGGGUUUGGAGGACCCAAAUUAGGGUAGAAGGCUAGUAGAUAGUCUCGUUUUUCGGUCUUAUUAGUAGUCGCAUUAUCGCAAUAUAAUUUCUUCUGCUCAGCUUUCUGCUAUUAUCUGUUAUUUCCUGUGCUUUGAUUAUCUUGUGUUAUUUGUGCUGCUUGCAUUAUUCCAUUUCAUAUCGCUUUGAAUCCCCUAACCUUAUCUGACUUCUUUUUAUGCUUUUAUUGAGUCGAGGGUCUUUCGGAAACAGCCGUCCUACCUUGGUAGGAGUAAGGUCUGCUUACACUCUACCCUCCCCAGACCCCACGAUGUGGGAUUUCAUUGGAUUGUUGUUGUUGUUGUCAAGCAAUAAACCCAAAUUAAAAUUAAUCUUAAAAAGGGGCUAAAAUUGGGCUAGUAUUGGGCAAAAUUGGAGAAUAUUUUAAAAUGGGUUAUGUUGGGUUGGGCUGAAAUCAGCCCAAUACAAAAUUAUCUAAAGCCCAACCCAUAAAAAUUUGGGCCCCCACGAUGUGGGAUUUCACUGGAUUGUUGUUGUUGUUGUCAAGCAAUAAACCCAAAUUAAAAUUAAUCUUAAAAAGGGGCUAAAAUUGGGCUAGUAUUGGGCAAAAUUGGAGAAUAUUUUAAAAUGGGUUAUGUUGGGUUGGGCUGAAAUCAGCCCAAUACAAAAUUAUCUAAAGCCCAACCCAUAAAAAUUUGGGCGGGUUGGGCAGUCCAUCAACUUUUGGGUCAUGUUUGACACCCCUAGUGACCAUCAUGGCCUCAACUAAAUUGAGAGCCUAUUACAGUUUUACCUCCACUCAACACUUUUGGAUUUGCAAUAGAAUGAUUAAAUUAAACUCAUUUCAUCUCCAGGGUGCUAUGAGAAUUUGAAACCUUAUUGUACUCUGGGAUUUGUCUAACCCUGUUAUCCUUUUCAUGAAUAUACAAUAUUUGUUGCUCGCAACAUUAAACUAGUGAGGCAACUUUUUUCUCGAUGAACUGGAGAAGCAAAUUUUAUCCAUAAGAUGGCUUUUAUGCCAAACAUCGGACCUUGAUGAUUUAGUGAUUGAAAUGUACAUAUAAAAGAAACGGUUAGUGAAGGGAUGAUCCUGGCCUCCUACAAAACUAAGCUUAUGAUCUCUAUGUUAUAUACUUCACCUUUGCAUGUGGAUCGUCAUUGCAGACAAUAUUUGCUUAACGAGAUAACGUCCUAAUUCUUAGCAGCUCACGAAAGAUGUGUUUCUGCUGUAAAAAUGGACGAAGAACAAUUGGUAGGCUUUAGGUGGCCAGCCAAGGAGUAUUUGGUUGCCCAUAAAGACCCUACCAACAUUAAAAAUUUUACAGAUAAAAAAAAAUUGCUUAACAAGACAGCAAGGGACCACACAUUUAUUUGUGAUAACAUCUGAGUACCACAAUAUUCAUUGAGGUGGAGCAUUUAUUUGUCAUCAUAUUGUUGGGCUGUUGCCCAGGGUGUUUUGACAGGUCAAUUGGUUUUGUAGUCCUCUACAAAUAUGUUUUUAGUUUUACAAUGGAUCUUUAUUUAUACCCAUAAGUGGUAUGAAAAUAACACGCAAAAGGGUCAUUUUCUUCAAUUCAAAUUGUAAAGGGCUAUGUUCAUCCAUUUUCUCGUGUUUUAGCUUUGUGAUUCUGCAGCAAUUGCAUGACACAGUUUUUUUUUUUCGUUUUACUUUUUGUGGGGACUGGGGGGUUCGACCUUCUCUCCGCUACCUUACAGAAUGUCUGGUGCAAGUUUACCAGCUUGUACCUGCCUAAACUGCAAGUUUACCGUAAUUGCUGAUAGGGGCAGUGAUAUUAUUAUUGUUGGCCGUGGAAUUAUAAAGGCUGCUAACCCCGCAGAGGCAGCUCGUGAAUACCGGCUUCAAGGGUGGGAUGCAUAUUUAGUGAACUGCAAGUAGAGUCAUUU